GGGAAAAGCUCAAAUUUCUAUCUGGUGGUCUUUGGCCAUCCGAGGUGUAAUUUAGAGAACCGUCUCCCGCGCGGACCAUGCACAAGUCUCCCGGAAUGGAGCGUCAUAGAGGGWGAGAUUCCCGUCUUUGGCAUGGACCCCAGGGCUUCUGKGAUGCGCUCUCAAAGAGUCGAGUUGUUUGGGAAUGCAGCUCAAAAUGGGUGGUGAACUCCAUCUARAGCUAAAUAUUGGCGAGAGACCGAUAGCGAACAAGUACCGUGAGGGAAAGAUGAAAAGCACUUUGGAAAGAGAGUGAAACAGUACGUGAAAUUGUUGAAAGGGAAACGCUUGAAGUCAGUCGCGUCGACCGAGACUCAGCCUUGCCUUGGCUUGGUGUACUUCUCGGCUGACGGGUCAGCAUCAAUUUUGAUCCUUGGAUAAUGGCAAGGGAAAGGUGGCACCUUUACAGGUGUGUUAUAGUCCUCUGUCGGAUGCAAGGGUUGGGAUUGAGGAACUCAGCGCGCACCUCAUCGGUGUCGGGGCCUUUUGCCUACGUUACGUGCUUAGGAUGCUGGCAUAAUGGCUUUAAACGACCCGUCUUGAAACACGGACCAAGGAGUCUAACAUGCACGCGAGUGUUCGGGUGGAAAACCCGUGCGCGUAAUGAAAGUAAAAGUUGGGACCUCUGUCGUGGAGGGCACCGACGCCCGGACCAGACCUUCUGUGACGGCUCUGCGGUAGAGCGUGUAUGUUGGGACCCGAAAGAUGGUGAACUAUGCCUGAAUAGCGCGAAGCCAGAGGA
rnacentral:rRNA from 1 species